GAAUGAGGUGAUGAUUUGGAUUUUUGUUCCCUAUUGGAUUGAUUCGCCAGAAUGAUGGCUUCAAAUGUAUUAGCUCUAGCUGAUCGUUC